UUGAACGCUGGCGGCAGGCCUAACACAUGCAAGUCGAGCGGAUGAAGGGAGCUUGCUCCUGGAUUCAGCGGCGGACGGGUGAGUAAUGCCUAGGAAUCUGCCUGGUAGUGGGGGAUAACGUCCGGAAACGGGCGCUAAUACCGCAUACGUCCUGAGGGAGAAAGUGGGGGAUCUUCGGACCUCACGCUAUCAGAUGAGCCUAGGUCGGAUUAGCUAGUUGGUGGGGUAAAGGCCUACCAAGGCGACGAUCCGUAACUGGUCUGAGAGGAUGAUCAGUCACACUGGACCUGAGACACGGUCCAGACUCCUACGGGAGGCAGCAGUGGGGAAUAUUGGACAAUGGGCGAAAGCCUGAUCCAGCCAUGCCGCGUGUGUGAAGAAGGUCUUCGGAUUGUAAAGCACUUUAAGUUGGGAGGAAGGGCAGUAAGUUAAUACCUUGCUGUUUUGACGUUACCAACAGAAUAAGCACCGGCUAACUUCGU
rnacentral:rRNA from 1 species